rnacentral:misc_RNA from 1 species
GCAGCAAUUAGAAGAAGAGAAAGUAAAAGAAAGUGAGGGGUGAACAAGCUAGAAAAUCAGCUAAGAGGUUAGUGCCAUAGUCCUUGUUCUUAAUUCCUUCUAAACUUGAAUUUAAACUAAGUUAAGUUGAAAAAUUGAUAGAAAUUGAACGAAAAAUGCAUGAUUAUAUCCUAUGAAAUUUUGGCAGCCUUAGGGUACAUUAGGGUUUCAUUGAUUAGAUUGAAUUAUAGUUGUACAUGGCUGCCAUUGAACAUAAAUUAGAUACUUUGAUUAAUUGAUUGCAUGUAUAUGGAGAAUUGAAAUGGUAGAGUUAGGGUUUGGGCACAAAUUUGAGAUUUUGUUUAUGUAAUGAUGAAAGUGAGUUUUAAUGGUCAAUUAGUGACCAUUUGAGGCAAGUUAACCAUAAUUUGAAGUGAGCUAAUGCAUGGCAAAGUGAAAUGUGCAUGCUGCCUAGAGACAGCAGCAAUGAGGCUGUGAUUCCAGCCCACUUAGACAGCCAUAACUUUGGCUGUGUAGGUUCAAUUGGUGUUUGGCCAAUUGGAAAUAAAACUGGACACAUAAUGGCAUAAUUUUGGUGAAGAAACCAUAGCCAAAAGACCAAAGUAAGUGGACCAAAAAUUGGUCCCAAUCUGGAUGUCCUGCAACCAGAUUCUGCAGAAUGACCAAAUGAA